rnacentral:rRNA from 1 species
AUUGAACGCUGGCGGCAUGCCUUACACAUGCAAGUCGAACGGCAGCACGGGGGCAACCCUGGUGGCGAGUGGCGAACGGGUGAGUAAUGCAUCGGAACGUGCCCAGUAGUGGGGGAUAACCAGUCGAAAGACUGGCUAAUACCGCAUACGACCUACGGGUGAAAGCGGGGGACCGUAAGGCCUCGCGCUAUUGGAGCGGCCGAUGUCUGAUUAGCUAGUUGGCGGGGUAAGAGCCCACCAAGGCGACGAUCAGUAGCUGGUCUGAGAGGACGACCAGCCACACUGUGACUGAGACACGGCCCAGACUCCUACGGGAGGCAGCAGUGGGGAAUUUUGGACAAUGGGCGCAAGCCUGAUCCAGCCAUGCCGCGUGCGGGAAGAAGGCCUUCGGGUUGUAAACCGCUUUUGGCAGGAACGAAACGGCGCAAGCCAAUACCUUGCGCUAAUGACGGUACCUGCAGAAUAAGCACCGGCUAACUACGUGCCAGCCGCCGCCGUAACAC